rnacentral:lncRNA from 7 species
GCCUGAUGCACCCAAGGAGGAUCACGCUGGUGUGGUGGCCUUGAUAUAUAGGGGGUUUCUCGAUGGUAGGGGAUCUCGUUCACCUCGCGGCGUAAGGAAGGGAGACACUGAAGGUGGAAGGGCAGAUUUGGCUCGGAUUUGUAGGAUUUGGCGCGGACUCAUAUCAGCGUAGAGCAGCCACGGGUGGGUGCAUUGGGUAUGCUCCCCCACGGAUUUGGCUCGGAUGCUCCCACAAGGGUGGGUGCAUUGGGUAUACUCCCAACGGAUUUGCCAAUGGAUGGGAUUGAAGAACGCUCCCCUCUCGGCACCGAAGAUGCUCCCCCACAGAUUUGGCUCGGAUUGGAAGGGGCGCGGAUGGGGCGGAGGCGUCCGUUGAUGGCGGCACG